rnacentral:lncRNA from 1 species
CUGUUUUUCAUAGUGUGUGGUUAAUCUCAGAUUUAGUGAAAACUUACCGUUUGGCCAGGUCGGAUUUUCCCUGAAGUAGAAAAUACUGUACCUGUUAUGGCUUCCCUCAGCUUGGGCCUGGGGACCGAAUAUCACUCCUUUGCCACGUGGAGGCACAAGGUGUAAAAGGAAAGAAGUGGCAAUGUGUCCCACUUUCAUGACCGACUAAUGAAACAGAGGGUCAGACAGAUCCUUUCAAGGCUGCUGCCGAAGAACAGCCAGAAGGCAUAGAAGUUGACCGAGUCCCUCAUGGCCAAUGUGAUGUCCCAAGCCUGGCAUUUCCUGGGACAGUUUACAGACUCAUUUGGACACAGCCCAACCAGAACAGCUCCAGCCACUGCAUUCAGUGGG